UUUAUGGCAAUGUAUUAUAUUGAUAAUAUACAUAUUCAAGUAUGUAUAAAAUAUCAUUUUGGCUAUUUGAAAUUAUUUCUUGUGACUUUAAUGAGCCUUUGUCAUCAAGCCACUGUGGUAAAUACUUGGAUCGAAGCCUCAAACCACAUAGCCAUUAAACAUCUGCGGAAAUUUGAAAAUGAUAGUAUAACGUUUAGAACCAUAGGGCUAAAGGUCAUCUAUCGCCUCUAUUUGAAAAGGGAUAUUUAAAACCUCGAGCUGCAGGACACACGUACGCCUGCGACUUCCACUGGUUAAGGGAACUGUUAUUGGACACCUGCAACCGCAUGGAUAAAUGUCACAUAUGAACAUCCAAUGGAAAAGAACAAUCUUACGUCUGCGACCACAGGUACACUGAUUGCCUGCGACUGCAACUGGAAAGACUUCCAUGCUUCAUUUGUAGAAAGUUAUUAAACGGCAGCUAAAAGGGUAAACGAACGCCUGCAUCCACGGAGCUACUGUUCACGUGCGAUCGAACUGAAAAAGAUUGGUUCGACGACUCGGAAACGCUAAUUCUUCAACGUCAGUAAGUGUAAUGAAAUUAUAUUCAGAAAUCACAGGACCAAAGUUCUUGUUUUAGUAUACAAUACGCAUUUUAAUACUUAUGACACUCAUAUUCAACUUCUUAGGCAUUUCAUGGCUUGUAUAUACAGGUUUAAAUAGAUACUUCCCAGUUUGGAUAACUGUGCCAAAGUUCAAAUAGCUAUCGGCUUGAACACUGUUUAUGUUCUUAAUUUCGUAAUAGAUCUAACCUCCGUUGACGAAAUGUUUAUGUAAUGGAUUCGCACAAGAUGCUGUAAAUUUGAGAGAUCAACUGGUGAUUUGACAUCAAAACUGUCUGUUAGCCCAUGUGUGUCAUGAUCUCAUUUACCUCGAUUAACUAAUUUGCAUGAACACCUGUAUUAGUCCAUUACAAACAUCUUGGCACACAGUGUGUUGUGGCCCUUAAGCACGAGCCUGUUCCAGCGGCGUAGCAUGUUGAUUCAUCGGUGGUAAGGGGUUGGACUCCGUCCUGUGUCGCCAGUAAGCGCGGGAACUGGGGUGAAUCUAUGUACACCGAGGUCGUAUCUCAUCGCGCAAUUGUGGUCUUUGUCUGAGGGUUGGAACUGCUUGAAUCCCCAUACUAGGCUAGAUAAAACCACGACCGGUACAACACAAGAAUUCUACAACUUUUCAUAUGGUUUGAAGCCAAGGUCUUUCAGCUCUUUCAGAGCGGCUUCAUAUUCACGGCCUUUGUGGCCGGUGUCAUCUGUGUCGGUCAUCUCGUCUUAAUACGCCGGAAGUACUGCCGAAAUACCACGACGCUGUUCGCAGUGGUGCUCUCUGGAUUUUUGCAUCUGAUCGCGAGCGUGUACAUGUUGACAAUUGCCGAAAAUUACAUGAAAAAACGCGUAAAACAGGGGCCUCCGAGCGUCGGCUCGUGCAUGGAUUACUCGAUGACGGCGGCGUUUGCAAACGGGGUGGUGCUCGUGUUUAUCGUGCAUAAUGUUUACGUUCAGAACUUUAAAUGGUCGAUGUCAUCGUGUCUAGCAUACGCAGGCACACUUGGUUGCAUCAUCACAGGAAGUUUUUCCAUUAUCAAGAUUGUGCCGCAAAAUAGCCCACUUCCAGUUGAACAACAUUCGCUUGUGACGCUUGGGACGUAUGGAAGUCAGCACUUUGACGUAUUCUUGUCCGUGUGUCAGAAAAACGUUUACGAGGAAAGAUGGUCUAUUCUGGUGGAAUAUUUAGUGAUAUACGUACCCGUCAUGUUCACCGUGCUGGCUGCUCUUUACACGAACAGGACAAAACAAACGGAAGUCACCAUCACAGAGCUAAAGAUUCUCUCAAACAAGGAGUGCAACGUUUCAGGGUUUAACUGCAAUUGUGUUAAAUUUAACUCAGUCAUGGUUGCCAUUCUUUUAUACAUUACUUUUGUCUUACUCAUAGUACGACCGGGAUACAUUCUGUAUGCGCACGCAACUUCGGGUUACUUCUGGGACAUAUUGCCUAGUUUGUUACAGACAGUAAUUUUCACUUUUAUUUGCUCAGAAUAUAUUGGAAAAGUCCUUAUUCGAUCACAAUAUUGGAAUAAUGAGGUGAAAUCAAACGGCUAUUGUGACUGUAAACAUAAGAGCAAGUCCCUUAUGCAGGUCUGAUAAGCUGCAAUUUUCUGUAGACAGGUUAUUUAGGGAUGUGUUGUUUAAACGUAAAGACACAUUUCCUUGGAAUGGGAAAUCCAUCGUUAUAUUUCCACAAAACUGCGAAACUAUGCUCAAAUAUGUUUGAAGCGCUAAUUAGCACAAAAGGGUAUCAUAUUGACGGAGUUAAAGUCGAAAUAUUGCCAUAUAUUUACACUUGGUGUCAUCUUCGUUCAUUUAAUCAAAAUGAUACUUAUGACCAGAAACAACAUGUUAAGAUGGAACUUGGGACAUAAUGAUGCUAAGUAUGUCGGGAAGCUUAUGCGUAGCUUUAAAUACAUAAACUUGAGCUCUUUGAUGCGGACAUAGAAACAUGCUGUGACAAGCAAACGAGUUUUAAUGUUUGAACAUGAUAUUUGCAUGCAAAAGAAGUUGUUUAUAUAUAUUUUAAUUGAUAAAAUGAUAUAUACGUCUCGUGAUUAGUAAGUAAAGAAGGCUGUGAUAAUUAAAUAAUAUCCAAUUGAAAUAAAGUUUAAUUGUCGAUGUAUUUUUUAUGUGUACAUUUGAGUUUGUAGUAAAGCAUAAUGUCACUGUAUUUAGAUAAACUAUUAUUACAACGAUCGUGCAUGCAUAUUUCAAUCAUGUUUAUGCAUUACUCAUAUUAUGUAUAUGUGUUGAGUCAUUUCUAUUUUUUAAUAUGUAUGGUUUUAGAAAAAUGUUUGAGGUAAAUCGCAUUAAGAUUCUAUGUUCAUAGUUUGCAGGCUAUUGUCCACUACAUAAUUUUACAAUAGAAAAGUGUUUUAUAGUUAAUUGACCGAUUUGCACGCGAAAUAACACUGAUUUCUAAUGUUACUAGACCGUCAACUCCUUAUAGGGGAUGAUAGUCUAACAAGUGUACCAAACAUUAAACGGCAUUAAAAAUCCUUAGAAUUGGCUAAACGCAGCCCCUAUGUACUGAAUAUAGUGAAAUCAUGAAUUUACAAGACAACUACUGGCACGGUAGGUAUUGAAGACACGACAUUGUACUAUCAGACGAUUUGAAAACGCCCCAGAUCUUGAGAACAUUUUCGGUUUGCAUUUCAAAGGGACUCUAAACUACCGCACGUAUUCAAUGUGAAUAUUUCAAAGACAAGAAUAUUUAAUUGCAAUGCAUGGUCCUUUUCCUUUUAAGAUUGAGCGUGCUUUAAUCGUUCGUAAAAUUGAAAUAAAUCCGUACGUUAAAUAUAUUUUUCUUUGGUAAUGUUUGCACACAUCGUGUGUAAAAUCUCAUUUACACAAGUAUUAAUUUCUGACGCUAAAUAGUCUACUUUUCAACUGGCAAAUGCUAAUAAUAUAUGUAUACCCGUAAAGGUUGUCACUUUUCGCAAUCAGCACAACCAAAGGGUUUAAUAAAGACAUUGCAAUUUACCCGGUGAAAUAUUAAAAACAAACAUAAAAGCAAAGCUCAUGCGUUAUGUCCACAACUGGCAAAAUACGCAACAAAAUCAACCAUUUCGUUAGAAAUUCACAGAGACGCAUAUCAAAACCAUGCUUUGAAAACUUAUGAAAUGCCUUUAUUAAAUAUUCUUUGGAAAACAAUACAGAUGUUUGCUUUAUUAGUGCUAUUAUUAUAUGUUUUAUAUUAUGAAACGAAUUCGUAGUAAUGUCGCAGGUCUGUUGAUAUGAAUGAGUUACUCAUAAAUAACGCAGGAGUAACGAAAGAGUAACUUGAAACAUUCGCCCAAAUUAGUUUCAUUCUUACCAUACUAUAAUUCCUAUUUCACUUGUGAUAACCUUGGUAUUGACCUAGAUACGUUAAAUGUUCAAUUUUAGACAUUGGUUUGCAUUUUCUGUAUUUUUCUAUAUAUUUCGUUCUAGAAUUUUGUUUUUUCCACCCAUUUACUUAUUACACAAAUGUGUAGUGUGUUAAUAUUUCGACUACAGUUGUUAACAAGAAACUAUUUAAGGU